rnacentral:rRNA from 1 species
UACAGAGGGUGCAAGCGUUAAUCGGAAUGACUGGGCGUAAAGGGCACGUAGGCGGAUAGAUGUGUCAUAGGUGAAAUCCCCGGGCUUAACCUGGGAACUGCCUGUGAAACUGUGUAUCUAGAAUAUAGGAGAGGGAAGUGGAAUUUCCGGUGUAGCGGUGAAAUGCGUAGAUAUCGGAAAGAACACCAGUGGCGAAGGCGACUUCCUGGUCUAAUAUUGACGCUGAGGUGCGAAAGCGUGGGGAGCAAACAGG